UCAAAAAAUUUAACCAGUUGCUUAAGAGUUGCUAAAGUAUUAUAACAAAUUAAAUUUAAUUCUCUUUUGUAUGAUUUAACUUAGGAUCGAUGGUUACAUAGGAUGUUUUAGAUUUUUGUAGAAAUUUGGUUGGUGUGUCAGUUUCCGAUUGGGUGAGUGAAAAAUAAAGUUUUCUUUUAUUUUUUUGUUAUGUGGUUUUCUGUCUCGUUUCUCUCUCCCGAUUGAUGGCGAUAUCAUCUCCAUAGAGAAGAAGCCGAGAAUUGAAAGGUGGUUUAGUCGGAAAGUGGAUUUCACCAGGAGGCAUCACAUCUCCACCGUAAGAGACACCAUCGACGAUCUCCGUUCAUCAAUUCGAGAGCCAAUUGAUUAACAAAAUCAGAUGCUAUUUUUUUGUUUGGACAGGAUUGCAAAACCAUUGAGACGUGUAUGUCUGUAUGAAGCCAGAACUUGGGAGGGAUUGUGUCUGCUACAUGUUCACCUUCUUGCUUCCUCAACCAGCCUCUCUCUUUCUUCCUCCUCCACGGUGAGACGAGACCUAUGGAGUUUGGUGAAACCGAAUACUAUUGUUGGCCUUUGAAUACUGUUGUUCAGUGAUGUUUCGUCUGUUGACUGGUGGAUGAUUCAAGGAAGGAGGCUGCUUGAUUGCAGAUCAAACUCAACAGGCAUCGCCCGUGAAGUACGUAGCGAACAGGGCUUCUGAUACGAUCACUCAACUCACUGACAAUGUCUACAUCUGCCGCUCUAGAUUGGCUGCUGAUUCUCAAGUUGUCUCUGACUAUGUUCGCUACUUCCUUCACCAGGAUACGUGAGUGUUUCGUUAGUGCCUUGAUUCGACGAAACUAGACGAAUUUAUGCUUAUGUUAGCUUAUAUAUCUGAAGAUUAUACAGUUUGUAUAUCUUUACGGGUUCUUUGAUCAGGCCUGGAAAGAAAACAUGACCAAAGAAGAAGCCGAGCAACUUGUUCUGAAGGCGGUAUCACUAGUCAUCGCCCGUGAUGGAGCCAGUGGAGGCGUUGUACGAACUGUCAUAGUGUGUGUGGAGCCUGGAAGGAGCUUAAUGGCUACCAACUCUCGUUUUAGCUAAUUCGUGCUAUGGAAUCCAAAAGGUAAAUGUAUCAGAUCUUUCUAUUUCUUGAUCUUUCUCUUUCUUGAUCUUUCGGCUAUUUGCAUCAUGAAUUUGCAUCAUUAAAUUGAACAAGAACUGUUUGGUAACUGUCACACUUAAACACUCACUGCUUUGUACUUGUCAUUAAUUGCAAACUUAAACACACAUUGUUGGUUGUUGUCACAGUUAAACACUUAUUGUCUAGUGUUAGGUUAAACUCAAUGCUUGGUAGUUGUCACUGAUUACAUGUCACAUUUAAAAAUCAAAUACACUUACACCUCACUUCCAGUUAUCUAUUAUGUGUUUAGCUGAAGCUAAACACAUACCUUUCUUCUCCUUUACACACCUAACCAGACCAUCAACCCUUCAUUAUUCUCGAUCCUCUUUUAAACACAACCCAAAAACUUGUCUAUGGAUCCAUAAGGUCAAGGUUUUAUGGACCUGUUAACUAGUCAACAAGAAAGCCACACUCUUGAAACCCAUUCGUAUGCUAAGGAGGCGACUAUAGGUGAACAGAAAUCAAAGGAGCGUAGAAGGAAGUGGUCACACACAAAAGAUGUGGUGCUCAUUGGUGCUUGGCUCAACACUAGCAAAGAUGCAAUUGUUGUUGUUGAUCAAAAAUUUAGUACUUUUUGUUCACGAAUCGCAAGAUAUUGUGCUGGAAGUCCUAAGCUAGUUGGUGUAGAAAAGAGAGAGCCUAGGCAUUGUAAGCAAAGGUGGCAGAAGAUCAACGAAACAGUCUACAAGUUUGUUGGAAGCUAUGAGGCUGCAACAAAGCUGAAAUCAAGUGGCCAGAAUGAAGGUGAUGUCAUGAAAUUGGCCAAUGAAAUCUUCUUAAAUGAUUAUAAGGUGAAGUUCACCCUUGAGCAUGCUUGGAGGGAGCUUCGCAAUGAUAAAAAAUGGUGUGAUCCAAUUCUGCGAAAGGUAAUGGAGCAUCAAAGAGAAGGAAGUGUGAUGAUCUUCAUUCACAAUCAUCAAGCUCGGUUCCAGUUACUCAUGUAGAGGAGGAAGUUCGGCCUACUGGUAUUAAGGCAACAAAG